rnacentral:tRNA from 1 species
GGCCUUGUAUUCAUUUUGUGAUUAUAGAAUGCAAUUCUAUAGGGGUGAGUUGAAUUUCUUACCAAGGCCU